GCAGUGUGUAACAAUCUAUGGCAUGCUGCAGAAAUGAAGAUCGCAGUACUGUGUUGCUGUGCUGACAAGUGUGACAUCGUAAGGAAUCUGUUGUCAUACAUGCGAUCAAACAGCAUUAGUCUUACCACAGACACAAAUAUCGGCUGUUACAGGUUGGUAGCAAGACAAUGGCAGGAUAUCCCUUGUAAUCAAAAUGUCAGCUUGAAGGAGCGAUGACCAGAACCUGUGUCAAAUGACUACAGGCAAAGUAUCGUCAUAGAUGAAACCUCGCCUUCAGCUAAACAUGCUCUUUCAGCGGACAUUUAAAAAACACGCCAUCCAACGCAAAGAAUGAAAUCAUAACAGAACAAUUCUUGGAAAGGAAGCUGUCUUUGCGAGUAAACUAAAUGGCGCGGUGUCACACGCAGUCGCUGGGUAUGGGAGCGAAGAAAAGGUUGGAUGUCCUUGAUAUCUUCGAAGCACAAGAACAUCCUUAAAUACCUAACUUUUGUCUAUAAACAGUUUUAUUUCCUUCUAGGAAUUUUUAUGUUUAUUGUUGAUUUUCACUCGUUCUUAGAAGUGUUAGUUUAAGUUGAGAACUUUGACGACUUACGUUUUCUUUCCAUUUUUUAAAUUUUAGUAGUACUAUGCGUUCCUCAGUCUCUCGCAGCUCUUCUAGACGCAACGAUCGUUUAUCACGAUUGAUUUUUUUUUUUUUGUCGUCUGCUCGUGCACAUUAUUCAGCAAGUCUGUUGCUUUCGUCUGACAGCGAUGUGCGAAAUUACGAAAGCAAUGAACUGUAAACAAUUCGAUUUUCGAGCUUGCCUCUCUCUCUCUGUAUGAGAUGUCAUGGAACUAUAAAUGGAAAAUUAAUGGUCCAAGCACUUAUUUCAACGAAUGAUUUAACAGCUAAUGGGGUCUCAGAUCGAUGUGAUUUUCGCAUGGACAUACACAGGCUCAUAACACGUCUACGCUUUCAACAAUCGAUCCUUGCAGUGUCGUAGUUUGUAUACCUUCUAACAUGAACCCAGCGUGAAGCCACACUCCGCCGUAAGGUCACAGAUACAUCGACAGCCGCGUCGACAUCAGCGCCAUUUUAUGACGUGGCGAGUCAUCAGUGCGUGACUAUCGCGACUGUACACCGCACUGCUGGAAGCACGAUAGUUUGAAAAAGUACAGGGGGGCUGCAUGUUUGUAAAACUCUCAUAUUUCAUUGUCAGAACACGAUUGGAUCUUACGAUCACGUUGUUUUGUGCAAGUAUUGUGUCCUCAGAAAGUCAUAGUUCGUGAAACCAGUAUUUCUUAUUCAAAUACAAGCGCGUGUGCACGCAGGCACACACAUACACGCGCGCGCAUGUGACAGCUUGCACAUUACAAUAUCCUGUUGGCUCUUUCCGCCCUUUUUUUUUUUCUUUUUUAACAAAUAGGUAGCAACGGAAGCGCCGCGAAAUCAAUGCGUUCAACACUGCAUCACGCGGUCUGUAGGUUCAUCUCUACUCCCCAUCCUUGGCGCACCUACCAAACUUCUGAGAAACAAACUUUUUUUCAACAGUUUAAGACCUUGACUGGUCACAAGUUGAUUUUAGUAUUUCUCUUGGGCACAUUAUUGUUCCAAGCAGCGUUCCUCUCUGAUCUCUGUCAGUUGUAAUAAUAAUAUACGUAUAUGUUUCUGCCGUUAAACACAUAUAUCAUUAUAUACGCAUACCAAUAAACUGAUUAAACGUGUGUGUCGUGUCGAUAUGACAUCGAGGCGACAGCUGUGCAUUUUGUCUAGAACUAGCGACCGACAGAAAUUCGUUUUCGUACAAUACAGUUAUGCACAAUGUGAUCAAACUCUCUGUACUGCAGUGAAGUCCGCUCACGCCCCUGGCUAUAGUACCAAGAAACAACAUUACAGCCAAGGAUCAGGACCAAGAGGGUCAUGUGCUGUGUGCGUGGCAUUUUAGAAUUCCAUCGUUCACACGGCUGCAGGGCUGAGUCACGACUGUACCCGCGGUACAAGGUAAUAUUGCGCUGAAGUACAAUUAGUCCUGGCGGAAGACGAAACCAACAGUUCGCUAGGAACGUGCAGUUGCUCCUGGACUUCAGGGCUACGAAGCGUGAAAUUUAUUAUCAUUCCUGAAGAAUACGAAUUGAGUAGUUUCCGUAGAUUUGUGGUUAGUGAAUGUCUUACGUUCACUGCCUCCUACGGCCAGCACAGACUAUCUUUGCCUUUAAGAAUAUGGCACGCCAACAUAAAUAAGGAAACGCAAGCACAAAAGUACAUCGUCGCGGAUAAACCCUUUACCCUUGGGAGCUGAAGUGAGUGCUAGUCUGAAUGGUGAUUGUUGCUCUCCCAAGCCAACUCCUGCCCGAAAAACUGACAAGAACGAUUUUUAACAACAGUACCUGAUGCUCAAGACGUCGACAUUCUUUAUUUUGUCAGACCUAUUUUUACCCUGAGUGCGAACACAAGCCUACAGUUCAAACUACUGUGACAAAAGACAUUACAAAGCCCAUCUGCCGAUAACAUCAUAUGCACAAAGGGUAAUAUAGUUUCAGUAAAGGUAUGUGGGGUUGGGAAGCAACCCAAUGUUUACUUAAGUAACGCCUACUACAGUCGUCGUAGAUAACUGUUGGUGAUCCAACAUUUCAAAACGCCCUAUGACAAGGCUGACAUAAACAAGAUGUUACUAGCGCAUUGUUAAAUCUUUGGUAACAAAAAGAGGCAGUAUGUAUUUACACAAGAAAUACAACAAAAUCCCAAGUAAAUCACUGUAGCUGAAACUUUCAAGUCCACAAUAUUAUAUGUACAGAUGCUAAAAAAAAAAUGUAACAAAAGAUCAUGUUUAUAACCUUUGUGUGCAAAAGAAAUAGAUGGGGCUGGGGUGAAAUACUUGAUCACUGGAUUAAAAAAAAAA
rnacentral:lncRNA from 1 species